GGGACCUGUACUCGUUGCGGUGCAAUGAUGGUGAAAGA
rnacentral:ncRNA from 1 species